GAAGUCCAGUAGGGCUGCAGGAGCUGCUUGUGCUGCUGGACAGGCAGGCAGGGGCAAAGUGGCAGAGUAGGCAGCGAGGGAGCUCUGAUCUUCCUGCUCAGCUCCCUCGCGUGCGCCGCUUAGUAAUGCCAGGAGCUGGUCUGACGUCAAAUUACAGCUCCCCGCCCGACCGCAAAUCAAACUGCCGCCUACCUCGGGGGGUGCGCAAAUGUAAACAAGCUGGCCAGCUCUUGGGCCCCCCAGGACACGAGGCUAACAAGGCAUCCGCUAGGGUGAUUACACCACUGGGCACUCUGCCAGCGACAUAUGGCUGCAUGCCCACAGAGAGGUUUAUGCCA